ACGGGAGGCAGCAGGGAAUAUUGUGCAAUGAACGAAAGUUUGACACAGCGACACCGCGUGUGGGAUGACGGAUCUAGGUUUGUAAACCACUUUCAGGAGGGAAGAAAAUGACGGUACCUCCACAAGAAGCCCCGGCCAACUACGUGCCAGCAGCCGCGGUAAUACGUAGGGGGCGAGCGUUGUCCGGAUUUAUUGGGCGUAAAGAGCUCGUAGGCGGUUCAACAAGUCGGUAGUAAAAGUUCAGGGCUCAACCCUGAAAUGUCGAUCGAUACUGUUGUGACUAGGAUACGGCAGAGGUGAGUGGAAUUCCGAGUGUAGCGGUGAAAUGCGUAGAUAUUCGGAGGAACACCAAUUGCGAAGGCAGCUCACUGGGCCGCUAUCGACGCUGAGGAGCGAAAGCUAGGGGAGCAAACAGGAUUAGAUACCCUGGUAGUCCUAGCUGUAAACGAUGGAUACUAGACGUAGGAACUGGAUUGACGGUUUCUGUGUCGUAGCUAACGCGUCA
rnacentral:rRNA from 1 species